UACAGAGGUCCCGAGCGUUGUUCGGAUUCUUUGGGCGUAAAGGGUGCGUAGGCGGCGGGGCAAGUCUGAUGUGAAAUCCCGGGGCUCAACCCCGGAACUGCAUUGGAUACUGCCUUGCUAGAGUACUGGAGAGGGAACUGGAAUUUACGGUGUAGCAGUGAAAUGCGUAGAGAUCGUAAGGAAGGCCAGUGGCGAAGGCGAGUUCCUGGACAGUUACUGACGCUGAGGCACGAAGGCCAGGGGAGCAAACGGG
rnacentral:rRNA from 1 species